UACAGAGGGGGCAAGCGUUGUUCGGAAUUACUGGGCGUAAAGGGCGCGUAGGCGGCCUUCUAAGUCGAACGUGAAAUCCCCGGGCUCAACCCGGGAACUGCGUCCGAGACUGAAAGGCUUGAAUCCGGGAGAGGGAUGUGGAAUUCCAGGUGUAGCGGUGAAAUGCGUAGAUAUCAGAAGGAACAUCAGUGGCGAAGGCGGCUUCCUGGACCAAUACUGACGAUCAGGUGCGAAAGCGUGGGGAGCAAACAGG
rnacentral:rRNA from 1 species